GUGGACCCGGUGGGCGACAUGACCAUCACCGAGUCUGUCUUUAUUGUUGCGUGGUUUUCACUCGUCAUAGCUCCUCAUUUGUCCCGUCUUCAGAUAAAAAAAGUUUGCAUUUUUACCAAAUGACUGAAGUCCUUACCUUGGAGAGGUUUGAUCGGAGUCCUCUAUAGGCUUUGCACUAUUCGGUUCGGACCCGCCUCCUCCUCUCCCUCCCCACCGACUCCGCCAUCUUGUAUCGGGCACUCGGACGCGGUUAAUGCGCAUGCGCGGGUCCGCAGUGGACGACGUCGAGACCGCGCGGCCAUUUGUAGAGAGGCGUUCAUUCUGUGAAAUGAAAUAAACGGUUUUAUUUCUUUAUUUAUAGGAAACUAUGUGAACGUUCUUUUAUUGUUGUCCUGAAUUUUUUUACACAUGUACUUAAUACAAUAAAAUGGUAAUGUCUA